UUUCGUCCAUACAAAUUGGACUUCAUCAGAGAAAAUUUUGCAGUAUACACAAUAUAUAAAAUACAAAGCAUGCAUCAAAUAUAUUGUGUAUACUGCAAAAUUUUCUCUGAUGAAGUCCAAUUUGUAUGGACGAAA